CGUGAACCCAGGAGGCGGAGCUCGCAGUGGGCGGAGAUCAUGCCACUGCACUCCACUUGGGUGACAGAGCGAGACUCCGUCUCAGAAAAAGUGGCCAGGUGCACUUGUAGUCACAGUUACUUAAGAGGUUCAAGCUACUUGGGAAAGCUUGAGCCCAGGAGUUUGAGUCCAAUCUAGACAACAUAGUAUGAACCUGUCUCUUUAAAAAAAAGUUGCAAAAUGUUCAUGGAUGGAGGAGACGUGCUCGGCGUGAGGUGAAAGGGCUGCCUGUGGGUCGGGCGUGGUAGCUGACACCUGUAAUCCCAGCACUUUGGGAAGCCGAGGUAGGCGGAUCGCCUGAGUUCAGGAGUUUGAGACCAGCCUGGGCAACAUGGUGAAACCCUGUCUUUACUAAAAACACAAAAAAUUAGCCAGGCGUGGCAGCGUGUGCCUGUAGCCCCAGCUUCGGGAGGCUAUGGUGGGAGAAUUGCUUGAACCUGGGAGGCGGAGGGUGCAGUGAGCCGAGACUGCGCCAUUGCACUCCAGCCUGGGCGACAAGAGCAAGACUUCAUCUCCAAAAAAAACAGAAAGGGCUGCCUGCUGUCUUCAGAGCAUUCUACCUCAGCUAAAGAUGCUGCCUGCCUCUCACAGGCCCUGAGGAGAAGAUGGCCACAUCACAGGAUCGAACACUACCACAAAACUCCUAGGAAGGGACAGGAAGGUGAGAAUCCUUUCUUUUUUUUUUGAGACGGAGUCUCGCUCUGUCGCCCAGGCUGGAGCGCAGUGGCGCGAUCUCACCUCACUGCAACCUCUGCCUCCCGGGUUCAAGUAAUUCUCCUGUCUCAGCCUCCCAAGUAGCUGGGACUACAGGUACCCACCACCACGCCCAGCUAAUUUUUGUAUUUCUAGUAGAGACGGGGUUCCAACAUGUUGGCCAGGCUGCUCUUGAACUCCUGACCUCAGGUGAUCCACCCGCCUCGGCCUCCCAAAGUGCUGGGAUUACAGGCGUGAGCCACCAAGCCCGGCCUGAGAAUUCUCUUCUGUCAAUGGUGUGGGCCUCUCGACCUCACUAACCUAUAUUGGCCCAGAGGUGAUGGUGACAAUUUGAGAUAACACAAAGUCUC
rnacentral:lncRNA from 1 species